rnacentral:rRNA from 1 species
CCUGAUGCAGCAACGCCGCGUGAGGGAUGACGGCCUUCGGGUUGUAAACCUCUUUUAGCAAGGAAGAAGCGAAAGUGACGGUACUUGCAGAAAAAGCGCCGGCUAACUACGUGCCAGCACCCGCGGUAAUACGUAGGGCGCAAGCGUUAUCCGGAAUUAUUGGGCGUAAAGAGCUCGUACGCGGUUUGUCGCGUCUGCUGGGAAAUCCCGAGGCUCAACCUCGGGCCUGCAGUGGGUACGGGCAGACUAGAGUGCGGAAGGGGAGAUUGGAAUUCCUGGUGUAGCGGUGGAAUGCCCAGAUAUCAAGAGGAACGCCGAUAGCGAAGGCGGAUCUCUGGUCCGUAACGGACGCUCAUGAGCGAAAGGGUGGGGAGCAAACAGGCUUAGAUACCCUGGUAGUCCACCCCGUAAACGGUGGGAACUAGUUGUGGGGUCCUUUCCACGGAUUCCGUGACGCAACUAACGCAUUAAGUUCCCCGCCUGGGGAGUACGGCCGCCAGGCUAAUACUCACAGGAAUUGACGGGGACCCGGCACAAGCGGCGGAGCAUGCGGAUUAAUUCAAUGCAACGCUUAGAACCUUACCAAGGCUUGACAUACACGAGAACACUCUAGAAAUAGGGGACUCU